CCUACGGGUGGCAGCAGUGGGGAAUAUUGCACAAUGGGGGAAACCCUGAUGCAGCGACGCCGCGUGAGUGAAGAAGUAUUUCGGUAUGUAAAGCUCUAUCAGUAGGGAAGAAAAUGACGGUACCUGACUAAGAAGCCCCGGCUAACUACGUGCCAGCAGCCGCGGUAAUACGUAGGGGGCAAGCGUUAUCCGGAUUUACUGGGUGUAAAGGGAGCGUAGACGGGUGCACAAGUCUGGAGUGAAAUGCCGGGGCUUAACCCCGGAACUGCCUUGGAAACUGGGCAGCUAGAGUGCAGGAGAGGUAAGUGGAAUGCCUGGUGUAGCGGUGAAAUGCGUAGAUAUUAGGAGGAACACCAGUGGCGAAGGCGGCUUACUGGACUGUAACUGACGUUGAGGCUCGAAAGCGUGGGGAGCAAACAGGAUUAGAUACCCCAGUAGUC
rnacentral:rRNA from 1 species